GUUUCUGUAGUGUAGUGGUUAUCACGUUCGCCUCACACGCGAAAGGUCCCCGGUUCGAAACCGGGCAGAAACC
rnacentral:tRNA from 1 species